CGGGCCCCGGGGGAGGGGGAACACGCGGGAACUGCUGCUAAUACCCCAUAUGCCGAAAGGUGAAAAGAAAUUUGCCUUGAGAGGGGCUCGCGUCCGAUUAGCUAGUUGGUGAGGUAAGAGCUUACCAAGGCGACGAUCGGUAGCUGGUCUGAGAGGAUGAGCAGCCACACUGGGACUGAGACACGGCCCAGACUCCUACGGGAGGCAGCAGUGGGGAAUUUUCCGCAAUGGGCGAAAGCCUGACGGAGCAACGCCGCGUGGGGGAAGAAGGCCUUUGGGUUGUAAACUCCUUUUCUCAGGGAAGAAGAACUGACGGUACCUGAGGAAUCAGCCUCGGCUAACUCCGUGCCAGCAGCCGCGGUAAUACGGAGGAGGCAAGCGUUAUCCGGAAUUAUUGGGCGUAAAGCGUUCGUAGGCGGCGUUUCAAGUCUGCUGUCAAAGGCCGAGGCUCAACUUCGGAAAGGCAGUGGAAACUGAAAAGCUAGAGGUCGGUAGGGGCAGAGGGAAUUCCCAGUGUAGCGGUGAAAUGCGUAGAUAUUGGGAAGAACACCGGUGGCGAAAGCGCUCUGCUGGGCCGAACCUGACGCUGAGGGACGAAAGCUAGGGGAGCGAAUGGGAUUAGAUACCCCCCAGUAGUCAA
rnacentral:rRNA from 1 species